rnacentral:rRNA from 1 species
CAGUAGCCGCGGGAAUACGGAGGGUGCAAGCGUUAAUCGGAAUUACUGGGCGUAAAGCGCACGCAGGCGGUCUGUCAAGUCAGAUGUGAAAUCCCCGGGCUUAACCUGGGAACUGCAUUUGAAACUGGCAGGCUAGAGUCUUGUAGAGGGGGGUAGAAUUCCAGGUGUAGCGGUGAAAUGCGUAGAGAUCUGGAGGAAUACCGGUGGCGAAGGCGGCCCCCUGGACAAAGACUGACGCUCAGGUGCGAAAGCGUGGGGAGCAAACAGGAUUAGAUACCCCUGUAGUCCCUGUCUCUUAUAA